UCAGUUGCCUCAAUAAGAGAGGACUGAAACCCCUUGUCGAGACGAGCAGUGUCUUUACUCUCUGUGCAGUUCUGUAAUACAACGGGCAAUAGCUGAAUUCAGUGCAUUUUUUGGUCUAAAUUCUUACUCAUGCGUGAUAUAGUGUUUUGAGUGAACUGUCUAGCGAACGGUGUCACUGUCCGUGGGCUGGCUUAUGGCGAAGCCAGCGAGUAAGACCCGUUUCACGAGACUAUUAUUUUGCCAUUUUGCGCGCAAGCUCUCUGCGUGGUUCGUUUCGUAGUUUUAGGGUAUUAUGGGCGAGUGAGAGGUAUGGUCAGCAUGUCUACAGAGCGCGUGGGUGUGCGGAAGAAGACAGAGGUGAACAAUGGUCAGACCACGACAGGAGCCGCAGCCCCUGUGGACGAGACCCCGAACCACAUCGUCUAUAAAAAGAUGGAGAAGAUCGUGGAGCAGAUGCAAGCGGAAGAGACGGGGGUUCCGGUGAAAACUGUCAAGAGCUUCAUGACAAAAAUUCCUUCAGUCUUCACUGGAGGGGAACUGGUCAGUUGGAUGAUGAGGAACCUCGACGUGGAAGAUCAGAAUGAGGCGUUGCAUCUCGCCCACCUCAUGGCUGCUCAUGGCUACUUCUUCCCCAUCGACGACCAUGUCCUCACCGUCAAAAAUGACUCGACUUUCUACAGAUUUCAGACUCCGUAUUUUUGGCCCUCCAAUUGCUGGGAACCGGAGAAUACAGAUUACGCUGUAUACUUGUGCAAGAGAACCAUGCAAAACAAAGCGAGGUUGGAGCUGGCGGAUUACGAGGCGGAGAAUCUAGCCAGAUUACAAAAGAUGUUCAGCAGGAAAUGGGAGUUCAUUUUCAUGCAGGCCGAGGCACAGAGCAAAGUCGACAAGAAAAGAGAUAAACUGGAGAGAAAAGUGCUAGACUCUCAAGAGCGAGCCUUCUGGGACGUCCACAGACCGGUGCCGGGAUGCGUGAACACGACGGAGAUCGACAUCAAGAAGGCGUGUCGGAUGAACAAGCCCAUCAAGUCGCAGAGGCACUGGGUCCUGGGUGUGGCCGGCGGUCGCAUCUCGCCCUCGGUCUCCGAGACCGACAUCACCAGCCCGGUCGAGACGCUGAAACACGACAUCGACAUCCUGAAGAUGAGGGUCGACAGAUGUAACUUCAAAGUAUCGAAGGCGGCAGAGUCGUUCAUCAGCUACUGGGAACAAUACCAAGAAUACGACCCUUUUAUAACACACCCCGACCCCCCAAACCCCUGGAUAACAGACUGUCCGGAAUUCUGGGAGGUUGAAAAAUUAGCGAAAGAGAUCCCAGCGAAACGAGUCAGGCGGUGGGCCUUCAGUGUUCAAGAGCUCCUGAAGGAUCCCCUGGGCAGGGAACAAUUCGUUAAGUUCCUGGAGAAGGAGUUCAGUGCAGAGAAUCUUAUGUUCCUCAACGCAGUCCAGGAGCUGAAGUGCCUGCCGCAGAAGGACGUCAACGAUAAGGUCCAGGCCAUAUUCGAUGAGUUCCUCGCUCCGAACGCUCCGGUGCCAGUCAACAUCGACUCCAAGUCUAUGAACACUACGAAAAAAAAUAUGCAGAACAGAGAUCGUUGGACUUUCGAUGCAGCUGCUGCUCAUCUCUAUCACCUAAUGAAGUCUGACAGCUACUCUCGGUAUCUGCGCUCAGAAAUGUACAAAGAAUUCCUCUCUGGCAGUCGAAAAAAGACGUCGGUGAAAGGAAUCAGAUCAAUAGUAAACUUCAGCAAAGGGAAGGACGCCCCCCCUCCGUCCUCCUAGUAGAGGCUGGACACUACCUUCUCCUCCCGCAUGCUCCCUAACACACCCGGCUGACUGGGAAGUCGUUUAUGAUUCCCAAAUUAUCGACACUCAACAUCGGGACGAACAGUUAGCCAUUGAUGAAGUCGCCGUUGACAUCCUCCAGGGAAUGACUGAAAAGCAGGAACGCAUCGAGAGGUCCACACGAAUCUGCCGCUGAGAAUGGUUUCGAUAGUUCUGGUGAAUUGCAAAUGGAAAAACAAUAAUAACUCUUUGGAAUUUAAUUUUUUUUCUUUUUGAGACAUGCAACACUUGCUUUUCUGCUCGGAGACGCUGAGAAAAGUCUGUCAAAAUUAUGUGAUCAGCUUCACGCUUUACACCACCGUCAGUUUCAAGGUCAUGGAAGAAUAAAAACGGAUUCAUUCUCAGUCAUUUUUGUCGCCAAAUCAGCGAAGGAAUCUCUCCUCCAGGGAGGAGGAGGAGUCCGGCUUGGCGCGAAAUCGUUUAGCACAAGUAACCGUUGCCCACAGCAGGUUGUUAACGAUGAUGAUGAAAUUGAACACAGACCUCUUUUGGUCCUUCAAGAUGUUUUCAGACUUUGGUUUCGCUGAUUGCUUUUUGUCAGACUUGGAGUGCUAAAGGAAGAGUGCAGUUGACAGUUGCAUUAAGAGUUAAUAUUUUAAUGCGGUGGCAUCCGGGCUCUUUCUGUUAUAAAUCUUAAGAAAUAAUGAUAACGGUCGAUUAGGAAAGGACGAUAACUCAAUCUCCUUUUCACAAAUAAGUGUCUAAGUUAUAAUGAGUACACAAUCAAACCGUCACAGGAGUCCACUGACUGAAAAAAAGGUGCUAUCAUAUUGCAUUUACGUACGUGCAUAUCAUUCUCUUUUUUCUUCUCUCUCUCUCGAAACUGGGGUUGAUCAAUUCUAGAAAGAAAGACUACAGCACAAAAAGCAGAUCAAAUGUGGAUGGUGUCAAGGCGAAGACGCCGCAACGAAGAAGAACAAAUGGAAGGAAGUUGAAGAAGGAAACGAACCGGAAGCUCAGAUCCAAUGGCCGUGUGGCGGGAAUUCCAACACCGGUUCUAAACGCGUCGCGUCUGGACGUAGGUGGAAGGAAGGAAGGAAGGAAGGAAGAAGAAGAAGAAGAAUAAGGACAUCGAUUCGAGCAAGCGUCACCAGCAGAGGAGCACAAAUCGAAAUAAUAACCAACUUGAGAACGAUCUAUGCGGGUUUGUCAGGCACGGCUUUUAUUCAUACGUUCGGUUGACCGGAGAGUCAUUGAUGGUGGAGCUCUUAAUCAUUUCAGUGAAGUGUAAGAUUCCAGGUGUCAAUGAUUUCUGGGCCUUUAGAGUUGUAUCUUGCAUCAUGUUAAAGAUACAAAGAAAAAAUUGUAAACAAUUCAAAAACUUUUGACAUCUUCGUUGACCCAUAUGUUGGUGGUGGCUAUUCCUGUACUUUCUUCUUGCCAGUUUUUGAAAAAGAAAAGAGAAGAAAGAUCGAAGGACAGAUCUAAUGGUUUCUGCCAUUGAAGGAAAAAGACGACACUGAAGUUGACAAAUGAAUUAAAGAAACAGAACAACAACAACAAUAACAACAACAACAACACCAAGAAAGUCUUGUGGCUCGUUCCGCAGAAUCAUAUUCUUGGUCUGUAGGAGGAUCACAUUGCCAGUCACGAUUCAAGAUAGUCAAGUCUCCUUAUUUCAUUUUCUUUGAGCGGACCAAUUUUAUUAUAGAUUUCCAAUAUCCAGGGCUACGAGACAUACUACUACGGGAUUUGUUAAAAAAAAAACCACACACACUUUUUGGAUCAGGAGUUAAAACCCAUUCCCUCCCUCAAACCUCUUAUUCUACGAGUUAAAUCAGCCUAUACUAUAUAUGUAGUAAAUCCUUGCUCCCCUGAGAUUUUUCCAUCUAUUUUUUUAUGUCUUCAUUUGGCUAAUCCUGAUGGCCUGUGCUGCUGCUGCUGCUGCUGCUGCUGCUUUUGUGGUAUGUCUCACAGCUCCCGAAGUGGUUACUGAUUUUCAGAUAUUUCAGGUCAUAGGUAAUAAUAACGCUGAUCACGAAAGAAAGGCCGUAGUGUUCUCCUCAUGUUGGUCCAGUGAAGUAUGUGUAACAUAUGUAUGCAUUCUUGAGUAUACAAGUUUGUUUACCCAUUGUAUGCAGGUAUGUACUCUGUACAUACAUACCUACAUAUUUGUGUAUGUAUAACUGUGGGUCAUGAAGCCCCUUUGUAUCUAACACAAAAAAGUCAAGACUUUAAGAAGCCAGCACGAUCAGCAUGCACCGGGAAGUGAAGAAGAUUCCCUCCGAAGUUUCCUCGUAGCUGAAAAUAAUCACAGUAUUAUUUAUGAUCUUCUAGAGAUUGAGUGAGACACCAUAAGUGUCACUAAAUGAAACGGCCGAGCUUUUGCUCUUUCCCUCAUACCUUCAAUGUUAUUCUACAGUGAAAAAGGUCAAAUAUUGCAGGACGUAAACCCCCUCUAUGAUAAAUAGUCGAGCUUACUGCGCACUGCAGACACAUCUCUGGAUGCUGAUGGUUGUAAUUUAAGAUAAAGCUUUUUUUCUAAUGUAAUUAAGGUCAAAGAUGUCAACUCACUUGUUAGAGGUCUUAGCAUUUGAGGCAUCAUAUUUUACACGAACCAUUUGAGCGCCCUCGGAAAUAUCUGAAAAGCAAGAGUCACGUCUGUGUAGAUAGAACUUAAUACAAGUCAAUAUUAUAGAUUCUUAAUAAUGACCAUGGAAGGAUGAGUUCCGAACUCUGCUCACGCCCUCCUCAGGUCUCGAGGCGAGGGAGCCGAGGAAGAGGCGCGCCAGUCACCUCUCUGAAAUGCUCUCGAAAUGCAAAGGUCCUCUUUGCUUGGUCAUAUAUCGCCUUUGCAUUGUUGCAAAGAGGGAGUCAGCAGAGUGCGUGGGAGGGACUCCCAUGGCCUCAUGCUUCCAUGCCGAUGCUUCAUCAACACCAUGAAGGGAAGCUUAACCCCAUUUCAAUCUGAAUAAAAAAUGUAAAAAAAAGAAAAAGAAAUUUCUUGCCAAAAAAUGCAAACUUUUUAAUGUUUUCGAUGGUCCCUUCAUGGUCAGAUAUCAGUCAGCCACCAUUGCCAGUUCUUCACUUAUUCAUCAUUGUGAAAAUAAAUAAAGAAAAGGCUGCAAGCUGCAAGGACAUAGCACUGGAGGAAUGUGAGGCUCUUGGAUAAGACACCGAUCGAUGGGUUUCUGAGACGCAGUCAAAGGGAGAACAAAUGUGUUAGUGAGGAUAGCUCCACCACCAAAAGAUAUUGACAGCGAAAAUGUAACUGUAUCUAAAUUCAUGUGUUAUCUCAGCCCCGUCUUUAUAUUUUGAGCUGUUUUACGAGAUUAAUUUUAAUGGUUGUAUUGUGUCUACUUUAAAAUGUGUGAUUUGAUGUGUUACAUCUUUUAUCAUAUUCCUUCUCAGAUAUAUAGCUGUCAUUUUGAUGACCAUCUUGAAUACUUUUGCCAUUUUCUUUCUCAUUCAGGCUUUCAUGAAUUCCUUCCAACCUUUUGUACAUUUUGUAAAACCUUGUUUCCUAUAACGAUCUAGAUACUUUGGCUUCUCUGAUUACACACUGUUCUAUCACUUUCAAUUCAAAGCAUUCCGGAGGCAGGUUCUGUUACUUAUGAAUAUGUCGUUUUUAUGUUUCAAAUGUGGUUGAUAUAAAUCAUUAACUACGUUGUCCUUAUCAGCACUUCGCUUCAUAAUCAUUUUGAUUAAGCACUGGGAUUGCUGAAGUGGUGUUCACGUACGAGAUUGAAUUGCUUUCUGCAGACAUUUUGCCGUUCAAAAAGAGACCGUUUCUGCGGUCAAGUCUAGCCUAACUUUCAACAUUUCAUGAUCAGAAGUCCUUGCAAUUCUUGAAAAGUACACAGAUUGAACUCUGCAGAGAGAUUUGUUCAAGUUUUGGGGUCUGCAAAGAGCUAUCCACAAUAAAGGUAAAAGAUUGCCAGUAAUCUAGUGUGCAACCAAUAUAAAGAGGAAACGGGGCUGAAAAGCCGCCUCUAGAAAAAAACUUGUAAUUUCCGGUAUUUUACUGAGAACAAAAAGUGAAAGAACAUUAUCGGUAAAACAUAAUGGGAAGCAAACAGAGAUGAUUUGAUGACUUUGUCCAACACCUCUUUUUCCCACAACGAAGAAUGUGAUAACGAAAAAAAAAAAAACACAUCCCUGAGACGACUGUUACUUCCGUAGGCAUCGAGCGCAGCCUCGAUGUCUCCUGGUCCGAAGCUGUAGUAGACUCCUUACGUAAGGGUGACGAGCGAACGAAAUCCCGUUGAUCCAAGACACCUCAGAAGUGAAGCUUUCCCAUCCGAGCGGGUUUUCCUUCAGUGUUCUGUCCUUUCCAGGACGCGCAGCCUUUAGAGCUAACCUUCUUUAAUCUCUAAGUAGCCUUUGGGAGUGUGGAAAAUGGGGAUAUAUAUAUGAGUAUAUAUAUUUCUUUCCAUGACACUGCUUUGUACCUCAACAUCCCUUUUCGUUUGCAAUUCCUCAUUGCGGGUUGUUAUUCAGACACACUGUAUCGAGAGCACUCCUUGUUACGAGUUCGCUUCUGUCUUUGUUGUAGGCUUCAUUCCAGUUUUGGUGUCAUGACAGAGUCCAAAAAUGAAAUGGCAUUGUUUCUUUCUGCUUUCGUUCUCAAUUGACAGAUCUCAUAGGGCUUAGAUAAUUAUUAUCAUUCUCAUCUCAAUAACACUUUGUUGUCUUCGAUCCCGUAAGUCAGAUUAUUAUGUAUACUAUGGAUAGAAUAGGUCUUGUUGUCAUUGAAUAGCAUUUGUUAAUUGAAGUUACUUCUGUCUCCCGCGAGGGAAUGUCUGUCGCUUUACUGUACGUUGAAGGACAUCCAAGCUUAUUUUGAUAAAGCCAAACACAUCUAGAUAAGAAGAGAUUCACUGGUUUCCUUCGGGGAAAUAACCGCUGUCUGGAAACUCCUAUUUCUGACUGAGUAACCGUUUAUUCAUUCGCCCUUUGUUGAAUCCCUCUUUUCCAUCCACCUUCUUCUGUUUAAUACUGUUGGCAAAAUGUAUAAAGUGUAUCAUAUGAAAGUAUUUAAUAGUGAACUGAUAACUAUGAAUAUAUUUCUGUUAAUGACUGUACUAAAUCAAUAAGUACCUGGGAUCUGGACAUUAAAGGAAAAUAACUGAAAGGAAAAAGAUCCUCUGAAACUUAUCAUAUUUCUGUCAUUGGUGAUUCCAUUCAUAUUCCUUCACCCGCGUGAAUUUGCUGCAUCCAGUUUACCUUCGUUCAUCAGUAUCUCGUCGAGACCGAUUCGCCGAAUUUCAACCUCAUUUCAGAUAAUAUGAAACAUUUUCCUGACUCAGAUUCUAAAUACAAGAAGUCGAUAAGAUCGUUCACAACACUCACGUUCCGAAACAAAGCAGAACCACUUAAGAUAAAAAACGAAAAAAAAACUUGGAUCACUUAAUUUCAGAGAUGGUGUUGAAUAUUCUCAUUUUGUUGACGUGCUUUUCAUAACUAUACCUCCACCAGGGCAACACUGAAUGAAUAUAUAUAUAUAUAUAUAUAUAUAUGUAUAUAUAUAUAUAUAUAUAUACAUAUAUAUAUAUAUAUAUAUAUAUAUAUAUAUAUAUAUAUAUAUAUAACUUUAAAUCAUCCUUAUGAAUUUGAUAUUUCAAUUAUACCUCUGGCAACGAGAAAGAUUUUCUUUUGACUUUGCCAUCCAGUCACACGAAUCUUCAGAGGUUAAACAGUCUCUUUGUAUUUUUCAGGCUCUUAAAACAAGAAAUAUUCAAACGUCAUAUAAAUUUGCAUCUGUCGUCUGAGGGGAUUUUUUAUUGGCACUCUUCUGUGUCAUUUUAUAGUAUCUAAUUUAUCAAUGCGUAUUAUUAUAAUUUUAUUAUUGUUAUCAUUUUUAUAGGAACAAUAAUUAUUUUCAUUAAAGUUACCCUUACUGUGUUCAUUUACCUGUCUAUCUUCCUUUUAUGUCAUCAUUUUGUUACGAGGGAAUUUGUCCAAAGACCAUCCAAAGAAAUGAAGAGUGAAAAGUUUGCCCUUGAUGGAUGAACAAAAUGGUUUUAUCGUAAACUCCCAAAAUUACCUUUUGUUGUUGCAAAUAGGAAACUCACUUAAAAACAAAGCUUUUCCUUUUCUUUAGUUUUCAGAGCACCAUAAUAAUAAACACUUACCGAAUCGUCCCCCGCUCCCACCACACCCCAGCCCCCCCCUCUACAUCUGUCUCGCAAAAAGCAUUUUUCCAGUGAGAGAAGAAACUCCAGUCCUCGUCAGCAAAUCGAUUCCUACCUUACUUGAGCUCAAAUUCCGCAGCAUAUCAAAGAAAAGGAGAAACCACAAGAAAACAAGAUAAAACCCGACAAUUACUCUCUUGAUUGCUCUAAGAAAAGACUUGACCAUCUCUCGCCAUUCUCCUCUUCUUAAAUAAUGUUAAAGUACUUAAUUAGUGCCCGUCCAAGUCCAGGUGUUUGUUAGAGACUCCAACGUUGUUUGGGGUGGCCAUCGUUCAGCAGCAAAAUCGUUGAAGCAUUUUUCCGUUCAGCAUAAAACUCAGUUCAGUCGAACGCAGCGGCACUGCGCAGGAUGUGUGUUGUGAGCAGCAAAAGGAUGACGUUAACUAACUUAACAACGAGGAAAGAUGAAGUGUUUCGCUUUCCUCCGCCUCCUCCGGUUGGCACAACCGCUGUCUGUCUGUCUGUCUGUCUGUCUGUCGUCCAUCUCUCGCGAAACCCCGAAAUUGGGUCAGUGCCAGGUUUGAUGUGGUUCGAGUCAGAGUUGAGAAUCUUGUGUUUUUUCAGAGAUAUGGAAGACCAUUGACAUCUUUUGCAGUUUUAUAAUGACAUAAGCAGUAAUUGAAGUUAUGAUGUUCUAUUUGUUUCUUUGGAUUUAUCAAGAAAAGAGAUAGUUUUGAUAUCCGAUAUUUCAAAAGUCACGUCUCUAAAACCCGACGACUGGUUGAAAAAAAUUGUUGAAUGUUGUCCAGUAACAAUGCUCUUAAAUAAACCAAAACAAUAAAUAACAAACUAAACUAAACGAGUUAGUUGUAGCAAAACCAGAUAAGCUGUUACCAUUUUAUAGAUUCCUCGUUGAGUAAGGCAGUAUAUCGUUUUUUCUUUCAAGCAACGCCUAUGAAAAAUCUAAAAAAAAAAAAAUCAAUAAACCCUUGCUGAAGUUCUGUAUCACGUUUUCAUAAUCCAUUUGGUGUGAAAUAGCAAUUAAUCAUAGGAAAAUGCAAAAUGGUUCUGGGCAUCUCUCAUCGUGCUUGUGUUUACAGGAAAUGUUCAUAUGAAAUAAAAGUUGCUUCUGUAAAUACUGUAUUUCUUAUUAGUAUGAGAAUCUUGCAUAAUAGAGUAUCAACUAUGAUGGCAUUUGCUAAUUCUAGUCUACGAAUAUUUUUGGUGAUACAGGAUAAUUCUCAUCCGAUGGACCAAUGACUUCUUUUUGUUUAUUUGGUAGAGAAUACACCCUAUGAAUCAGCCAAGCAGAAAACAGAAAUUACUCUCACGCAGCCUGUCUUGAAGGACACAGAAAUCCUCUUCUGCUGCUGCUGCUGCUGCUGUGCUGUUGCCUCUCUCUGUUGAUUUGAUUUGCCUCCUUGCGAACCGUCUGUUCUUGAGCUGAAUAGAGUGGCGAGUGACUCUUUGGAUCAUUUGCAGGUUGAUGGUCUUGUUUGUCAAAGUGAGCACGAGCAAGACCGCUAACCCAUAACCGUCUUCGCGCCUAACUUUAUGAAGAUCUGCUACAGCCUCUAUUUUUGCAGCAUCGCAAGAUGUCUUUUACCUUCCUUCAGCACAAGAAAUGGAUUGAUUGGAAUACCUUUGCUCGAGCUGAGCGCAGCGGUGAAUUCUCUGCCACUUCAUUGAUGUAUUCUGAAUAGGUAGGCAUUCUAAGGUUGUACUUUAGAUUUAUAGUUAAUCAGUCUUAUCAGGAAAUUACUUACUGCUGAUUAACUCUUGUUGCUAGUGAGUAAACUGGUUUAUCAAAGGCUAUCGUCUCAAUGAAACUGGUUUGAUGCUGUUACGAGUGAUCAUAACAUUGUUUAUGCUGAGGCUCUUGACGGAACUAGCAUUGUUUGCUAGACCUGGUGACCAAGCUGGCUUACUGCCAUCAUUAGUAGCCAUACAGGUUACUGUACCAACGAGUGCCAUCAUCUUCUAUUCUCUGUCUCUCUCUUUCUCCUCCUCCUCCUCCUACCUCCCACAUUCUCUCUCUCCCCCUACUCCUAUGACUUCUUCCUAUCUCCCUCUCUUCUGCCUCUUUCCAUUCUUCUCAUCUUGUAUGGAACAGGUUCAAAAAUCAUGGAAUGUUUAGAGAUCUUCCAGUGACACAGUUUAGCUGCAUCCCUUAUUACGAUUAUCACCUCUCCUUAGUGGUAAACAUUCCAUAAUUUUUUGACCCAAAGAUCAAAUGUAUUAGAGAAUAGAAAAGUAUAAAAAAUGUAUAAAUCUUCAAAGAAGAAGUCAGAUAUUGUAACCAAAUAGAAACAGUAACUGGUAUGUUUCCCCCCCAAAAAAAGAUUUUGUUCUGUACAACCUCAACAAAAUGCAUAUUCAUGGCCCUGGAAAUUCUCCGGGGCUUAUGGAAAGAUAAUACAUUGCAACGUUACUAA